rnacentral:lncRNA from 1 species
GACAAACCACAGCACUGAAGCCAGCCUUUCUUCUUUCUGCCAACAGGCGCCCACAAACGCCUAAAUUUAGAAGCUGGCAAUUGCACUCAUUUAGGAUUUUAGGAGAAACUCAGUGCAGUUCCCUAGGAUAAUUCUGGACAUGCUCUUCUGUAAGCCAGGACGCUCCACCUGUCACAGUUCAACAUUUACGGAGUACCUACUGUGGACCAAGCAUUGUUCUGGAUCAAUAUACUUUGAACCAUAAAUUUAAUUUAAAAUUUUCUAACAAUCACAUAAGACAUACUAAAAAGAAACAGAUAGCUAUGUAUGGAGGCCCUCCCACUGUGCAUACUGACAAGCUGUGACCUGCCUUUAGCCAGGGUUUGAGGACUUGCUCCCUGCUCUCUCUGCUCACAGAACAACCCAGGGCUGGCUCUGGAAGCGAGUGGCUUGGAUUCCAACCUUGACUUGUGUUAUGCCCUUGCUGUAUCUUCUUUGGCUGGUUAUUUAACUUCACUGGGUCUUGCUUUGCUCAUAUGUAAAAUGGGGAUAAUAAUAGUAGCAAUUAAUGAGGGUUUGUGAGGAUAUGAAUGUGAAAUGAUUAGACUGUGUCUGGCACAUAAUAAGCAAUCAAUAAAUGGCAGCGCUG